GAUGAACGCUGGCGGCGUGCCUAAUACAUGCAAGUCGAGCGAACAGACGAGGAGCUUGCUCCUCUGACGUUAGCGGCGGACGGGUGAGUAACACGUGGAUAACCUACCUAUAAGACUGGGAUAAAUUCGGGAAACCGGAGCUAAUACCGGAUAACAUGUUGAACCGCAUGGUUCAACAGUGAAAGACGGUCUUGCUGUCACUUAUAGAUGGAUCCGCGCCGCAUUAGCUAGUUGGUAAGGUAACGGCUUACCAAGGCAACGAUGCGUAGCCGACCUGAGAGGGUGAUCGGCCACACUGGAACUGAGACACGGUCCAGACUCCUACGGGAGGCAGCAGUAGGGAAUCUUCCGCAAUGGGCGAAAGCCUGACGGAGCAACGCCGCGUGAGUGAUGAAGGUCUUCGGAUCGUAAAACUCUGUUAUUAGGGAAGAACAAAUGUGUAAGUAACUAUGCACGUCUUGACGGUACCUAAUCAGAAAGCCACGGCUAACUACGUG
rnacentral:rRNA from 1 species